AGAGCGAACGCUGGCGGCAGGCCUAACACAUGCAAGUCGAGCGCCCAGCAAUGGGAGCGGCAGACGGGAUAGUAACACGUGGGAACGUACCUUUCAGUUCGGAACAACCCAGGGAAACUUGGGCUAAUACCGAAUACGCCCGUAAGGGGAAAGAUUUAUCGCUGAAAGAUCGGCCCGCGUCUGAUUAGCUAGUUGGUGGGGUAAUGGCCCACCAAGGCGACGAUCAGUAGCUGGUCUGAGAGGAUGAUCAGCAUCACUGGGACUGAGACACGGCCCAGACUCCUACGGGAGGCAGCAGUGGGGAAUAUUGGACAAUGGGCGCAAGCCUGAUCCAGCCAUGCCGCGUGGAUGAUGAAGGCCCUAGGGUUGUAAAGUCCUUUCGGCGGGUAAGAUAAUGACGGUACCGCAGAAGAAGCCCGGCUAACUUCGCGCCAGCAGCCGC
rnacentral:rRNA from 1 species